AAUUCAUGUUGAGGGCAGUGUCGAAUCAAAUUUUUAUACCUUUCCCACGCUUCAUAAAGUGACUCAAAAUUUUUUUACUUGAAUUGACCAAUCUCACUUCUGAGUU